CCUUCCCUCCCUCCCUCCAUCUCUUCCCUGUUUCUCUCUGAUUUUCCAGAAUGCUCCUCCACAGAAUCGUGCCACCUGUGUCAGUGAAAAAAAAGAAAGGCUAUUGGUAUUCCUCUUUGAGGCUGGUUAAGGGAGUGAUCCUACCACCUCCAUCCCCAGUCCUACCCACUCGCAACAUUUUUUAAGAACACAUGCAGUCGCCACAGGUUAACGUCGGCGCUGCCAUUGCAUGUCACAGGCGGACCAUACGGGGAACGCAGGAGGCUGAUGCAAUGAUGUGCUGGGAUACCAUGAGUUUUAAUCACGUGUAACUGUAGCAUUACAGUCAGAGAAAGCAAAAGAAUUGUCCGAAUAAAAGAAUCAAUCCAU